GAUUAUUCUCACCUUCUUCAAAUCGGGGAAAUCGGAACCGAAAAGUUCCUUUGGGUUUUUUCCGAUUUUCUGGAGUUUUCUUGUUGUUCUAAACUCGGAUUUGGGAUGAGGGAAGUGAGGAGAUUAAAAGGGGACUAGUUUCUUACCUUCGGUCACCGUGCGAGGUGGUCAUCGGCGACAGACGGAUGGCGGUUCGAUCGCCGGAAACAAAGGCCCAGAGAGAAACACCCAAGCUCCAUUUUUUUUGUUUAAAUCACAACUGAAAUGAGCUCCAUCAAAAAAUUUUGGUUUUAUAGAACGCAUAAAACGGCGUCGUUUAGGGCCGUUCCAGUGGUCUCAAAACGGCGUCGUUUAGCAACCCAGACCCGAGACCCGACCUUAACCCGCUUAGGAUCCGCGUGUUUUUGGACUGGGGGUCUAUUUGCGCCCUCAAUCCCUCCGCUUUGAGGCCGGUUUCAAUGUUGUCCCAUUUCCCUUUCUUUUCUUUUUAAUUUCACCCCUGAAAUUUCAUUAUUGUUUCAUUUUGGUCCUUGAUCGAACGGUGCGUUUUGGGUGGACGGGUUUAUUACCCAUUUGGUCCUCCUUGGUUACUUGCGCAUUCGCAUGGGUCCCUGUUUUAAUCCGAACAAUUUAUUUUAUUUGUAAAUUAUCCUUCUUAUUUUAAUUUGAUUUCAAUUAAGUUUUAUUUGGAUUCAUUUUUACAGCUUUUUUUAUUCGUGUUUAUUUAUUGGUAUUAAUUGUAUCAUUUGCA
rnacentral:lncRNA from 1 species